AAAACUUUCAACAACGGAUCUCUUGGUUCUGGCAUCGAUGAAGAACGCAGCGAAAUGCGAUAAGUAAUGUGAAUUGCAGAAUUCAGUGAAUCAUCGAAUCUUUGAACGCACAUUGCGCCCCCUGGUAUUCCGGGGGGCAUGCCUGUUCGAGCGUCA
rnacentral:rRNA from 1 species